rnacentral:rRNA from 1 species
UACGUAGGAGGCAAGCGUUGUCCGGAAUUACUGGGCGUAAAGCGCGUGUAGGUGGUGGGACAAGUCUGCUGUGAAAACUCGAGGCUCAACCUCGAGACGUCGGUUGAAACCAUCUGGCUAGAGUCCGGAAGAGGAGUGUGGAAUUCCCGGUGUAGCGGUGAAAUGCGCAGAUAUCGGGAGGAACACCUGUGGCGAAAGCGGCUCACUGGACCACAACGUGACGCUGAGGCGCGAAAGCUAGGGGGAGCAAACAGGG